AAUAAAAUAUUGGGCCCUAGAAUAAUUUGAGAGAAAACUACAUAACAGUUGACAAUUGACAAUUGACAAUGAGGAAGAGGUAAUGCUUGUUAAGCUUUUGUUUGAUUACACAUUCGUUUUGCUAAAUGAGAGUUGUGAGAGGCACUCCUUUCUUUCUCUCUUCUCCCCUCUCUUAGGUGGUAACUCAUGGAAUGAUUCCAUGAGACCUUCCUCUCUCCCUGCAUGUGGAACUUACAAAUAUAUAGAAAAUCAUAUAUUGUGAGAAAGUGACUUCAUGGAGUUGCAACAUAAUAAGAUGAUCCUCUCCUCUCCUCUCCUAUGCCCUUAACUAUUUUCUUAAUUUGUACAUUUCAUCAUGUCGAACUCACAAAUAUAUAGAAUAUCACUGUGCACAGUUUAUUUGUAUCUUUCUAAUAUAAUAGGUUGUUCAACAUUCAGGAAAGGACACAGAUCCACCAACUAACGAGUUUGUGAAACAUUUCACUGAACUAAAGAUAAACUUAAUUAUUUUAUGCAUUGCGUAAGUAACAAAAUAUAUCAAUGAGAAAAUGGCAUUCUACAAACAAAUCAAAUUUUUGGUAAAUUCUAUCUAAAGACACUUGCUUUUUGGUUUCCACUACUUCUUAAAAUUUGGAAAAUAAGCCGUGGAGUUUGGAACCAUCCUUUCCCCCUGAGUGAUUCUAGGACCACAACCUAUUUCACCACUUUUUGCCACAACUUUAACGUGGCAAAUUAUGAAUGGUUGACUAUCACUUACACAUGGACCCACAAUUUUUCUUUUACCAUUCACACUGCCAUAUCACAAUUGUGGUAAAGAAGUUGUGUAAUAGUUUGUGGUACUAUAUUUUUUUCCCUCCCUCCAUGAAGUACAAGUCUCAAGGUUAAGUGGCUUCUGGAUCAAAUGGGAGUAUAGGACCAAACCAAUAUAGUGAUAGUCUUUCUUGUAACGAAGCCACUGUAGUCUCCUUGAAAUGCAUUUUGCAGCAGAAAAACUAAGCUACAGUAAUGACACCAAAUUGUUAACGGUUUCCUAUGAAAACCGUAAAACUUAUUACUCCCUUGAAACCCAAGUUUGCAAAACUUACUCCCUUCAAACCCAAACUAAACCGAUAUGAAGAAGAAAAUGCAAAGCAGAAAUACAUAUCAAUCAGACACAAGAAAGUGAAAAGCUCACAAAGCCUACACGGAGAAGCAAAAAAGACAUUCCCAUUUAGAAGGCUUACGCUCAACACACAGUCAUGACUUGAGGAAAUUUGAGAAUACAAACUUUCUGCAUUAGAUAACCGGAAGUUAAUGCACCAGGUUAUUGAUCAUUUAAUCCCAAAAGGAUGGAGGGAGGAAAGCAAACAAAGUUGAGUCCAACUUAGAUUCUUGGUAUAAUAUGAAUAAAUCUACUCACCAGCCAAUCAACGUUCUUCUAACUCUAUCUAAAAUUUGAUACCUAGCUAUCAUUUUGGACAACUGUAACCUGCAGUUCUCAUCCAAAAGAAAUCUGUGAACCUCCCAUUCAUGAUCUGAUUCUGAUGUUGAAUAUCUUCCUAUUUCAGCCUAAAAACCCAAGACAGAAAGUGUUACAAGUAUUUCAAGAUUUGAC